ACAUGAUGAGUUAUCCAGCUGGCACCAGUCAUAGAGCGACUUGUACUCCCUUUCCUUGAUGACUAAAUGCUGUGGUCUACGACCUUCCUCUGAU
rnacentral:snoRNA from 1 species